UACGGGGGGAGCAAGCGUUGUUCGGAUUUACUGGGCGUAAAGGGCGCGUAGGCGGCCACCGCAAGUCGACUGUGAAAUCUCCGGGCUUAACCCGGAAAGGUCAGCCGAUACUGCGGGGCUAGAGUGCAGAAGGGGCAACUGGAAUUCUCGGUGUAGCGGUGAAAUGCGUAGAUAUCGAGAGGAACGCCUGCGGCGAAGGCGGGUUGCUGGGCUGACACUGAGGCGCGAAAGCGUGGGGAGCAAACAGG
rnacentral:rRNA from 1 species